AUAUUUUUUUGGUUUUAGUGGUCACAUUAAAGAUUCGCUGAUGGACUUAACUCAACAGAACUUAUCAUUGCAUUAUUCGGAACAUUUCUAGAAUUUACAUUAGGAUCUCGUGACUAUGAUUAUUGGAUGCUGAAGCUGAGACAGAGAAAAAGAAACAAGUUGUAAAAUGAACCCAUCGAGCGUCUCUCUAAAGGUUUUAUGAUUAAUUUAGUAUAGUUUUAUCCUUUUAGACAAGUUAUUAGAUUUGUUGUUUCAAAGAAAAAUACAGGAAACUGAAACAAUGAAAAUAUCCAAAUUAUAGACUGCAACAGCUUGUUCAUAAACCAAGCUGUUGCUUCGUGUUAAUUAUUUAAACACAUUUACAAAGUAAAAAAUGGUUUGUUAAAACCUGUUGGAAUAGUGAUAGGGGAAUGAUGAAACCUGUCAAGUUCAAGAUUUAUGAAUGGAAUGUGAAAAACUAUAUCUCGAGUGAAUGCGAUAGAUUAUUUUCACCGAGAACCGCUACGAAUUUCAGCUGACAGCGAUUAUACAUACAUGUAGUUGUAGAUGACUUUUAAUGUGGUGCACUUUCCCAUAAUAUUCGUAUCUAUAUGUUUCAAUGAUGUUGCUGUUACAUCACAGUAAAAAAUCUAUUGUUCAAUGCAGGGGUUCAAAUUAGCGGUGGACUGAGGUCCGCGACUUUCCACUAUUGCAAUCAGACUUUUGUUUUUGUCGCUAGCUAUGGCCGACGGACCUUCGAUUUGAAAAAAAAAACUAACUUUGCCAACCUUUUUAACCUUAAAUUUCAAAAUGAUAUCAAAAUUUAUUUUCAUCGUCAUGAUCAUUAUUAUUCAUGACAGCUAUGUUAUUUUUAUUAAACCGCUAGUUUUAUACUGAAAAUUGCCAACAAGUAAUGUGUAAAUCGGAGUAAAAUCUUAUCUGACUGACAAAAACUUCAUUAAAAAACAAUUGAUGCAGAAAAGGGAAAUGUAGACAAUUACAAUACCGGAUCAGAUUCCAGGGGCGGAUAAGGGUAAUGGCAUUUUUAUGGCCCCACAAUGAAGUUGUCGUGCCAUAUAGUUUAAGCCUUGUCCGAAAUUCCGUAAUUCUGAUAUUCCUUAAUUCCGUAAUUCAGAUAUUCCGAAAUAUUUGUAAUUCCGUAAUUCCGUCAUUCUGUCAUUCUGCAACAAACCAUUAUACAUGUACAGAGUUUUUUCUAAACGCCUUCAGAUAUUGGGCUGAUUUUUGGUAUGUGAGCUAACCAUGAUGAGUUACAGAUCAAGUUAAAGUUUCCUUCCGCUCCACUAAUUUUUGCCGAACUUACUAUGCUUACAGACUUUGGACUUUGAGAAAUUGUUGAAAAAUCACAGUUAUACAGACUUUUUUUCUAAACAACCUCAGAUAUUGGGCAGUUUUUUGAUAUGUGAGUUAAUCAUGAUGAGUUACAGAUCAAGUAUAAGUUUUGUUCCGCUUCGCUAAUUUUUGCUAGAAUUACAGGCUCUGGACUUUGAUAAAUUAUUGAAAAUCAUAGUUAUACAGAUUUUUUUCUAUACCCCUCCAGAUUUUGAGCUGUUUUUUGAUAUGUGAGACUACCAUCAUGUUUGUGUCCACAUGUGUUAUUGAAAUUGCAGAUUUUUCAACUUUUGGGACGGGGCCAUUCGUGUUGCUUUGACACAUCUAGUUAUUUUAGAAACUGACUUUUUCACCAAAAUUAUUAUGCAAGUUGUGUCCAAUUUGUAAUCAAUAUAAUCAGUCAGGGUACUUUCUUAAAUGAGUGAUUUUCUAAAUCACUGAUUCAAGUAACAUUAUUUCCACAAAGAUUGGAAGUUAGAGUUGUCUUUCUUUAAUAAUCACCUAUUUAAGUAGUACAAAUUAAUCACUAGAAGAAGUGAUUUGAUUUUAUUGUAGCUUUAAAUAUAGAUUACUUAUGAUCCAGGGACUAAUUAUGUUUCUAAAAUUAUCAGAACCAACAUCUGUGUUGAUAGGAUGACCAGGUCAUUUCAGGUGAUGACCUUGAACUGAAUCUUGGAUGACAUAAAAAUAACUUGUUUAAGUAUCAUACCUCAAAUUUUCUUCCCAAAAAUCACUUCUUUAAGUAUCAUUAUUUUAAUAACCAGUGACCACUAAUUUCAACACCCCCGAACAGUGAAUUUUUUAUCGCGAACAGUUGAAUUUUAUUACAUAAUCUGAAAGAUGAAACCUUUGAACUUCACAGGAAAAAUACUCCCACUGCUGGAAAAAAUCUGUUAAAAAAGUAUCAGUUCAUUAUAAUGUAAAGCCAUUAUUAUAGCAUUUUUUUCAAGUAAAAUAGAAUUUGCAGCUAAAUGAUAGCAUUAAAGGCAUAAACCUUGCUACUUAAGUUAAAAGAAGCAAAAAGGUCAUUUUUUUUCAAUUUUACUAAUGAAAAGAUAAUAUUUAAACCUAUGUGUUUAAAAUUUGGUAAAACUACAAAAUUACAAUUUGUGACAAAACUUUGAAUUUGCUACUUAAAUAAGUGAUUUAAAAAUUACUCAUUUAAGUAAGUCCCCUGACUGAUAAUCACAGUCCAAAUUCAGAGUCAUAUCAUUGCUUGAAUGCUGUGUCCAUACUUGCCCAAAUUGUUCAAGGUUAGACCCUUGUAGUUGUGACAAGCUGCACCCUUUAAAGCAUUUAAUCAAAAUUAGAUCUCUUUUUAUUUUGCAGGGUACUGUGAUAGUACAUUUCAUUUUAACAAUAUGGUGAGUAAAUAUGUAUUGUUAUCUUUAACAUUUGUAACAACCAUGACAACUGAAAACAUACAUGUAUAUAUAUAUCAUGUAUAUGGUAAAAAAUAAGAUUUGGACAUUCUUUGUAAUGAGUCAGAAAAGAAUACAAUGGCAAAAAACUCAAAAGUGACAUACACAGUUCAAGACACAGUAUACAUCAGUGGCGGAUCCAGAAAUUUUCAUAAGUGGGGGCCCACUGACUGACCUAAGAGGGGGCCCGCUCCAGUCACGCUUUAAUGAUUCCCUAUAUAAGCAACCAAUUUUUUUCCCAAAAAGGGGGGGCCCGGGCCCCCUGGGCCCCCCCUCUAAAUCCGCCUCUGUACAUGGUAUACAUACUUGUUCUUUACUACACCAGCUUUAAGUUUGGAAAUCCUAAAUAAGUCAGAACAUUAUUUGGAAAUACUGAAGCAAAACAGGCUCUACCAUGUCUACUGAAGUAGUUAAAAUUAUUUGAGGUCACUACAACCAAAUUGUUAACCAUGUUGAAAAAAACUCAAAAUACACACAGACCACCCAACGGAUAUUGAAUAAGAGGAGAUCUAGGGUAAAUACUAUUGAAACAGCGACCUUAUGAAUAUUGCAAAAUAGAAAAAUAAUAAAAGGUUCCUGUGCUGUCAUCAGUUGUGCCAAUGAUAGAUGCAUGUUUCUGAUACACAUAAUACAGGGAUAGACCUGCAGCUUUGAAAACAAAAUGAUCAUGAAAAAAAAAGAAUACAAUAGUUUGUUUUGUCAUCAACUUGUAUAAAUAUCAUGAUAAAUGUAUAUCAUUAUUCUUCAUGACAGUGCUUUCUGUCAGUUUGCUGUCAAUUUGUUUAACCCUUUACUCCAUAAUGACCUCUUUUGACACCUGUGUAGUACCUCAGUUGAAAUGCUUUGACUACAAAGUGCCUGCAUCAGACUUAAUAAAUUUUUUUAUCAAAUAUGAAAAGGAUAUUCAUAAGAAUAUCCGACUAAAAUUUAUUUGAUGGAAUAUUUGUUUUUUGCAAUACAUUAAUACUUCAAAGCAUAUUUUCAAUAUUUUGUUGGAAAAUCCUAUGCGAAUCAAGUAUGCUAAACAAAAAUUUCAAUGGAGGAAAGGGUUAUGAAAACAUCAAUAACAUGAACAUCAUAAUUAUCUUCAUUUGUCAUGUUUGUGUAUUGUAUUUAGAAAAAAAUGAGUUGUCUCCCAUUACAUGUACAUAAAUAACAGCAGCACAUUUUAUAAGAUUUGUUUACUUUCUUUUUUAUCCCAACAAAAUUGUUGAGAGUAGCCUGGUGCUGUAAAAGUUGUUUUGAAGGGAAAAUGGCUUAGAUUAGAAUACUUUAUUUAAAAAAAUACUUAUUUCAAGUCCAAAAAAUGUAUGUAUUUAUAGUAUAGCUUCUAAAAAGUAGAAUGAAUUGUUUGAACAAAUCUGAGAACAUUGUUUUAUGUAAACUUGCAGGAUAAUUUUCAAUUCAAUCCCAGUUUAAUUUUUUAAAUAUUUAUACAUUUACAUGUCUCUUUUGUUAAAAAAAAAAAAGCCACAUUUAGUCUAACCACUUCAACUGUGAGUUUUGUAUUUGUUAAAUGUAUUGAACAUGAUGUUGUAAUGUAAAUUCAGAAAUUAUUGAGUGCAUUUAAUUUAUUAUUCCAAUUUUGUUAUUUUAGAUUGAACCAAGUGCCAGUAUAUUUUUGCAAUUCUGAGAUAAAAACCGUUAGGGCUUCAUUCAUGAUUACAAAAAAUUGAAAAUACUUCUUUGAAUUACAAUGUAUAGCAACUACAACUCUUUCGCAUUUAUUUUUGCAAUAAUAAAAACAUCUUCAUAAUUUUUGAAUUUACAGUAUAUACACAUACAUAUGAAAUAUAUAUCUAAGUUUUAUUAUUGUUGUUUUAGGGCAUCAAUGAGUGGUGGAUUCUUACCGGAGUCCUAUAUUUACAUGAACAUGUUUGUACUGUUGAUUGGUGUGUUUGCCAUUGUGAUGAAUGAGUCUGUAGAUGCAGUUUUUAUGGUAUAAUAAUUAUAAAUAAUUACAUAAGUUGUACUUUUCAUUAUAACACGUUAUUCUGAUUGGCUGACUGCAGUCUCGUGUUAUUCCUUAGUCAACUUCAUUUCACAAUAAAAUUUAUCAUUCAUAUUGUUUUUAUUGAAAUUCUAUAAGAAAUUCUAUAAAACAAAGACAACUAUGGUCUUGAAAAUGCUGAGGAGAUCUCAAAAGGAAGGUUAAAGAACAUUGUAGAAAACACGAUUUUGUGCAAUGCUCAAAUAAAGUUUGAUUGCGAAUUUCACUUCAGAAAAGAAAAAAACUGUAAAAAGGUGUUUCAAACUGUAAAAAAGAAAGUUGAUAUUAAUCAAGAAAAAAAGAAAUUCAAGCAUUUCACACUGACCAAUGCUGACAGUAUCAUUAUAUUCUUUAUCAAUAUGUAUGUACUAAGCCAAAAGAAAAGUUCUGCAAGUUGAAUUAUAUUUCCACAAUAAUAUAUAUAUUUGUGAUUUAAGAUUAGAAUUUUACAGAUUUAUUUCUGAUGACAUGUGACAGUUUUUGUACCAAUUGAAUGACACUCAUCAAAAUAUGAUAGCCUGAGUCACAAGUAAUGAUGAACUUGGGUGUUAUUUUAAAAAUUCUAGAAUUUCUAGUUAUUUCUCAAAUCACUGCUAAUAAAUUGAGAUCUGAACCAGUGAAACUGAAAUUAAAUGGUGCUCUUUUCUUUUGCAGUUUUUAUUUUUCCACUGUUUUACAAUGAUACAAGACAUCAUAUUCCUGGGUAUCUUUGAACCAAUGGGAUAUUAUAAUUUUGAGAAACCUGACA
rnacentral:lncRNA from 1 species